CCUACGGGAGGCUGCAGUGAGGAAUAUUGGUCAAUGGACGAGAGUCUGAACCAGCCAAGUAGCGUGAAGGAUGACUGCCCUAUGGGUUGUAAACUUCUUUUAUAUGGGAAUAAACUGUUCCACGUGUGGGAUUUUGUAUGUACCAUAUGAAUAAGGAUCGGCUAACUCCGUGCCAGCAGCCGCGGUAAUACGGAGGAUCCGAGCGUUAUCCGGAUUUAUUGGGUUUAAAGGGAGCGUAGAUGGGUUGUUAAGUCAGUUGUGAAAGUUUGCGGCUCAACCGUAAAAUUGCAAUUGAUACUGGCAGCCUUGAGUACAGUGGAGGUAGGCGGAAUUCGUGGUGUAGCGGUGAAAUGCUUAGAUAUCACGAAGAACUCCGAUUGCGAAGGCAGCUUACUAAACUGCCACUGACAUUGAGGCUCGAAGGCGUGGGUAUCGAACAGGAUUAGAUACCCUUGUAGUC
rnacentral:rRNA from 1 species